rnacentral:lncRNA from 10 species
GGCAAAAACAGGAGGUAGAGAAAUAGCCAAUCAUCUAUCCCCUGAGAGCCCAGCGGGAGGGACAAGGAUUGCGAUAUAAACCCAGGCCUUCCAGCAGGCAAUGGCAACCCCCUUUGGGUCCCCUCCCUUUAUAUGGGAGCUCUGUUUUCACCCUAUUAAAUCUUGCAACUGCACUUUUCUGGUCCAUGUUUGUUACAGCUUGAGCUGAGCUUUCGCUCGCCAUCCACCACUGCUGUUUGCCGUUGUGCCGGACCCGCCACUGACUUCUAUCCCUCCGGAUCCGGCAGGGUGUCUGCUGUGCUCCUGAUCCAGCGAGGCGCCCAUUGCUGCUCCCGAUCAGGCUAAAGGCUUGCCAUUGUUCCUGCACGGCUAAGUGCCUGGGUUCGUCCUAAUCGAGCUGAACACUAGUUACUGGGUUCCAUGGUUCUCUUCUGUGAUCCAUGGCUUCUAAUAGAGGUAUAACACUCACCUGGCAUGGCCCAGGAUUCCAUUCCUUGGGAUCCGUGAGGCCAAGAACCCCAGGUCAGAGAACACGAGGCUUGCCACCAUCUUGGAAGCGGCCCACCACCAUCUUGGAAGCUGCUAGCCACCAUCUUGGAAGUUCUGUGAACAAGGACCCCCGGUAACAUUUUGGCGACCACGAAGGGACCUCCAAAGUGACAGAUGGAGGCUCUCUCUCUGUGCAACUGGGGGUGUGGUGAUGCAAAUAUCCUUCUGGCCACCGCCACUGGGGCCGUGCUGGGUCAGACCUGAAGGCAGCACAGCACUGGAUUUCACCUGAGGCCCUCUAUAAUCACUACCCGGCUGCCACCUAUGUUCACUCAAGACCCUAUGUUCAUUCAACGGCUCUAUAAUCAGCAGAUGGCAAAUCCAGCCAGGUUCAUGUGCUUCCCUUCAGGAUGUGUGGAAAUGGGCACCUUUGACUGAACCAUGUUUCUUGCUCGGUAUUGAAAAAUGACCUCAUUCCUUUAUGGAAUUUUGCCCUAGUCUUCCAGGCUGGGGUGCAAUGGUGCAUUCUUGGCACUGCAACCUCCGCCUCCCAGGUUC